UGUUGGAUGAUGAAAAGAAUUAGUGGAUUCCAACUGAUUUUUAAUACAUGAUAUCUCAAGUAGCUACUUCUGAGAACA